UACGUAGGGACCAAGCGUUGUCCGGAAUCAUUGGGCGUAAAGCGCGCGUAGGUGGCUUCAUAAGUCCGUUGUGAAAGUCAAAGGCUCAACCUUUGAAAGCCGAUGGAUACUGUGGAGCUAGAGUACGGAAGAGGCGAGUGGAAUUCCUGGUGUAGCGGUGGAAUGCGCAGAUAUCAGGAGGAACACCAAUUGCGAAGGCAGCUCGCUGGGACGUUACUGACGCUGAGACGCGAAAGCGUGGGGAGCAAACAGG
rnacentral:rRNA from 1 species